UUCAUUCUGAAUAUUUUUUUAGUCUCCUACAUUGAGUCAAGGACCUCCAACCAAAAAACUCCACCUUGAAAAUGAUUCAGUUCAAUUUCCAACUUCUACAACACCUCAACCACCUUGUCAAGUCAAGACUGAACGUAUUCAUGAUACUCUCAUUAAACCAAAAGAAGAACCUUUAGACCAUUUAGAUGAGGAUAACACGUCGCAUUCUGGAGAAGAGUCUCACAUGGAUAUUUCCCACAUGUUAGAUACAUCUUUAGGAGAACCUUCUCCUUCAAAUCCUUUUCCUAUCUGGCCAUCAAUGGAUUUUCCACCGCCUAUUCCACAAGAUUCAUCCUCACCAGGCUUGAUUCUUCUUAAAAGUGGAAGAGGACAGUUGGUACUAAUUCAUAAUGGACACAUAUACACUCUCUGUGAUAAAAAAGACUUUCGUAGUCUAUGGGUAUGUGUGAAAAAGAAAACUCUGAAUUGUCCGGGUUGUUUAACAACACUAAAUGGUCCUAUACUACUUUCCUACUGUGGGCACAAUCAUCGACAAAUGCAUGAUAUAAUACAAAAACUCCAAGCACCAAGUUGCAGUAUUUCACCUCUUCUGAAGUUGUAGGAAAGUUGUCCUCCACCUAAUAAUGGUCGUAGCCAAAGAUGAAGAAAAUCAUUAUAAUAUUCUUGAUUUCUGAGUAAUACCAAAAUGUCAUAUGCUAAGUUUGAGAUUAGAAUCCUAUUUAUUUUUUAUUUAAGUAAUUAGAAGAUCAUCCCUCUUUCAGAAUAUAUAUUUUUGUUGCAUUUUUGAAGUGAAUUGACAAUAUUUAGUUAUUAAUUCAAGUAUUUUUUUCCAAAAAUGUUAGCUUAUUUUUGACACCUUGUCCAAGGUGAAUGUUAUCACAAUCUUAUGAUUGAAACAUAUGAAUUAUCAUUUACCAUUAUGAACACAUUCUCAAUACUUUUGACAAUGGUAAAAACGAUAUUUUUUAAAGAAUAUGACUGUUUUUGUUUUAUAUUUCCAUUUUUUAAUAAAAUGAUCAUCAAUUUGA